rnacentral:rRNA from 1 species
CUACGGGGUGCUCCAGUGGGGAAUAUUGCGCAAUGGGCGAAAGCCUGACGCAGCAACGCCGCGUGGGUGAUGAAGGUCUUCGGAUUGUAAAACCCUGUCGUUAGGGACGAUGACUACCAGUCUAAUAUAUUGGUAGUUUGACGGUACCUAGAAAGGAAGCCCCGGCUAACUCUGUGCCAGCAGCCGCGGUAAUACAGAGGGGGCAAGCGUUAUUCGGAAUUAUUGGGCGUAAAGAGCGCGUAGGCGGUAUUUUAAGUGAGAUGUGUAAUCCCUGAGCUUAACUUGGGAACUGCAUCUCAUACUGGAAUGCUAGAGUACCGGAGAGGGUGGUAGAAUUCCACGUGUAGCGGUGAAAUGCGUAGAGAUGUGGAGGAAUACCGGUGGCGAAGGCGGCCACCUGGACGGUAACUGACGCUAAGGUGCGAAAGUGUGGGUAGCAAACAGGAUUAGAUACCCUCGUAGUC